UACGGGGGGGGCGAGCGUUGUUCGGAAUUAUUGGGCGUAAAGGGCGCGUAGGCGGUGUGGUAAGUCUGUUGUGAAACCUCCAGGCUCAACUUGGAGCUUGCAUCAGAAACUGCCGUGCUAGAGUGUGGGAGAGGAGAGUGGAAUUCCUGGUGUAGCGGUGAAAUGCGUAGAUAUCAGGAGGAACACCGGUGGUGUAGACGGCUUUCUGGACCGUAACUGACGCUGAGACACGAAAGCGUGGGUAGCAAACAGG
rnacentral:rRNA from 1 species